rnacentral:rRNA from 1 species
UACGUAGGGGGCUAGCGUUGUCCGGAUUUAUUGGGCGUAAAGAGCGUGUAGGCGGCCAUGUAGGUCCGGUGUGAAAACUCGAGGCUUAACCUCGAGAUGUCAUCGGAAACCAUUUGGCUAGAGUCCGGAAGAGGAGAGUGGAAUCCCUGGUGUAGCGGUGAAAUGCGCAGAUAUCAGGAAGAACACCAAUGGCGAAAGCAGCUCUCUGGGACGGUACUGACGCUGAGACGCGAAAGCGUGGGGAGCGAACAGG